rnacentral:rRNA from 1 species
GAUGAACGCUGGCGGCGUGCCUAACACAUGCAAGUCGAACGGUUAAACCGGCUUUUGCCGGAAAUAAAGUGGCGAACGGGUGAGUAACGCGUGACCGACCUUCCCCCCGCACCGGGACAACCGCGGGAAACCGCGGCUGAUACCGGGUACUCCGGGGCCUUCGCAUGGGGGCCCCGGGAAAGCUCCGGCGGCGGGGGAUGGGGUCGCGUCCCAUCAGGUAGUAGGCGGGGCAACGGCCCACCUAGCCGACGACGGGUAGCCGGGUUGAGAGACCGACCGGCCACAUUGGGACUGAGAUACGGCCCAGACUCCUACGGGAGGCAGCAGUGGGGAAUUUUGCGCAAUGGGGGCAACCCUGACGCAGCAACGCCGCGUGCGGGACGACGGCCUUCGGGUUGUAAACCGCUUUCAGCAGGGAAGAAC